UCUUUCGAGGUCGUCGAAGUGAAGCACGCUUUGCUAGUCGAAUCUCGGGCGUCAUUUCCUUUUGGAAAGGAGCUUCGAGAGGCAACACCAUCAAAUUGCGGGAACCUCCUAAAAGCUAAACCUACCAACCGCGCGCUGAAAAGUGUUAAGCUUGGCCCCCCCUCCUCCCUGCGCGGAGGGAGAGUGGGGGGGCCUUUUUGUGGGGCCAAGCAAGCAAUCGAGCUUGGGGACGGUGAUAACGAUUUAGUGUGUAACAAUGGGCGACCUGCUGCUAAGCCCCAAAAAAUGGAUACCCACUUUUAAACCCGGGUUAAAAAAAAAAAGGGGGCAGGUCACCGGCUUAAUGAUGGCCGGCCGGGGGGGAGGGGGGGAGGGGAUUCGUCUCUUUCCCCCACCCCUUUUGCUAAAGUUAUAGUCGGGCUUGUUGGCGAAAGCCACAACGGUCUACUGCAGAUACCGUCGUAGUCUUAACUAUAAAUGAUACUGACCAGGGAUGGGAUAAUGUCCAUCUCGACUCUUCCUGGACCUUGGAGAAAUCAGAGUCUUUGAGUUCUGGGGGGAGUAUGGUCGCAAGGCUGAAACUUAAAGGAAUUGACGGAAGGGCACACAAAGAGUGGAACCUGCGGCUUAAUUUGACUCAACACGGGGAAACUCACCAGGUCCGGAUACACGUAUGAAAGACAAGCUGAAAGACUUUUCUCAAUGAUGUAAGUGGUGGUGCAUGGUCGUUCUUAGUUCGUGGAGUGGUUUGUCUGGUCUAUUCCGAUAACGAGCGAGACCCCGGCGUUCCUAAUAGGGGCAGCAGCCCGGCUUGCUUUGGUCUCACGACUGGGGCUCGCUAGCACGCUGCCUUCACAUAGGCUUCUUAGACGUAUCAGAGCCGAUAAGGUUCUUGAAAUGGGUUAAUAACAGGUCAGUCAUGCCCUUAGAUGUUCUGGGCCGCACGCGCGUUACAAUGGCAUGCUUCAGAAAGUGCUCAUUCAAAAGGGCGUAUCCGCGGCCUUCCGGUCGCGGUAACCCCUAAUACCUGCCUUGACUGGGAUAGACUAUUGCAAUUAUUGGUCUCUAACGAGGAAUUUUUAGUAGUCGCAGGUCAUCAACCUGCGUCGA
rnacentral:rRNA from 1 species